rnacentral:rRNA from 1 species
UACGUAGGGAGCAAGCGUUGUCCGGAUUUAUUGGGCGUAAAGAGCUCGUAGGCGGCUUAGCAAGUCGGGUGUGAAACCUCCAGGCUCAACCUGGAGACGCCACUCGAUACUGCUAUGGCUUGAGUUCGGUAGGGGUAAGCGGAAUUCCUGGUGUAGCGGUGAAAUGCGCAGAUAUCAGGAGGAACACCGAUGGCGAAGGCAGCUUACUGGGCCGAUACUGACGCUGAGGAGCGAAAGCGUGGGGAGCGAACAGG